rnacentral:rRNA from 1 species
ACGGGUGAGUAACACGUGGGUAACCUGCCUGUAAGACUGGGAUAACUCCGGGAAACCGGGGCUAAUACCGGAUAACUCAUUUCCUCGCAUGAGGAAAUGUUGAAAGGUGGCUUCGGCUAUCACUUACAGAUGGACCCGCGGCGCAUUAGCUAGUUGGUGAGGUAACGGCUCACCAAGGCAACGAUGCGUAGCCGACCUGAGAGGGUGAUCGGCCACACUGGGACUGAAACACGGCCCAGACUCCUACGGGAGGCAGCAGUAGGGAAUCUUCCGCAAUGGACGAAAGUCUGACGGAACAACGCCGCGUGAGUGAUGAAGGUUUUCGGAUCGUAAAGCUCUGUUGUUAGGGAAGAACAAGUGCCGUUCGAAUAGGGCGGCACCUUGACGGUACCUAACCAGAAAGCCACGGCUAACUACGUGCCAGCAGCCGCGGUAAUACGUAGGUGGCAAGCGUUGUCCGGAAUUAUUGGGCGUAAAGCGCGCGCAGGUGGUUCCUUAAGUCUGAUGUGAAAGCCCACGGCUCAACCGUGGAGGGUCAUUGGAAACUGGGGGACUUGAGUGCAGAAGAAGAAAGUGGAAUUCCAAGUGUAGCGGUGAAAUGCGUAGAUAUUUGGAGGAACACCAGUGGCGAAAGCGACUUUCUGGUCUGUACUGACACUGAAGCGCGAAGCGUGGGGAGCAACAGGAUUAAAACCCUGGUAUCCACGCCGUAACGAUGGUGCUAAUGUUAGGGGUUCCGCCCUUAUGCUGCACUACGCAUUAACACUCGCCUGGGAAUACGUCGCAGACUGAACUCAAGGAUUGACGGGGCCGCACAACGGGGACCUGUGGUUAUUCAAACACCCGA